UCCCUGGGACAGAUCUAAGCUGCACAGGCUUGAUGGAUGGACAUAAAAGAGAUCUGGACAGAAGUAUGAAAACACACAGCCUAGAGCUCUGGACUCCACGGAUCAAGUCAGCUCCGUCCUUGGACAGCUUUCUACACAGCACUGCUUACUGAAAUGAUGAGGUGCCCUGGGCCUACAAGUGCAAUUUGGAUUCAGGCACACUCCAUGGUCACCGAGGAACAAACAAGGAACUGGGUUUCAGUGGCAGAAGCAGAGCAUUCUGAAGGAGGACAGGACCAGGGCUAGCUCCAGAA